rnacentral:rRNA from 1 species
AUUGAACGCUGGCGGCAGGCCUAACACAUGCAAGUCGAACGGAGUGGCGGACGGGUGAGGAAUGUCUGGGAAACUGCCCGAUGGAGGGGGAUAACUACUGGAAACGAUAGCUAAUACCGCAUACUAGUAGAUGGACCUGCGUUGUAUUAGCUAGUAGGUAGGGAAAUGGCCUACCUAGGCAACGAUACAUAGCCGACCUGAGAGGGUGAUCGGCCACACUGGUACUGAGACACGGUCCAGACUCCUACGGGAGGCAGCAGUGGGGAAUAUUGGACAAUGGGCGAAAGCCUGAUCCAGCCAUGCCGCGUGUGUGAAGAAGGUCUUCGGAUUGUAAAGCACUUUAAGUUGGGAGGCGUUACCAACAGAAUAAGCACCGGCUAACUUCGUGCCAGCCGCCGCGGUAAUUC